rnacentral:lncRNA from 1 species
UUGGCCGCAUAGAAACCGGGUCCUAAUUAACUAAUCAUAAGAAAACGUGGUCUGAUUUGAAUCCGAUCAAGUUUCAUGAAACCACGUUCCCCUUUAAGGUGUUUGGGACCAUGUCAUAAUGGUGCAUGUGCAAUGAACACAAGUUGCUUUUUCAAAAGGUACAUAAAAAAGCCACAAUAAAGAAAGAGACGUACAUGUUUAGAGAAAGAGAGAGAGGGAGAAGUGGGUUUGUUUUCACACUCAGAUCACAGUAAAUUGGGGAAGGUAAGAGGGAGGCAUACAAUAAAAAAAC